rnacentral:rRNA from 1 species
CCUACGGGUGGCACCAGUGGGGAAUAUUGCACAAUGGGCGCAAGCCUGAUGCAGCCAUGCCGCGUGUGUGAAGAAGGCCUUCGGGUUGUAAAGCACUUUCAGCGGGGAGGAAGGUGUUGUGGUUAAUAACCACAGCAAUUGACGUUACCCGCAGAAGAAGCACCGGCUAACUCCGUGCUAGCAGCCGCGGUAAUACGGAGGGUGCAAGCGUUAAUCGGAAUUACUGGGCGUAAAGCGCACGCAGGCGGUCUGUCAAGUCGGAUGUGAAAUCCCCGGGCUCAACCUGGGAACUGCAUUCGAAACUGGCAGGCUAGAGUCUUGUAGAGGGGGGUAGAAUUCCAGGUGUAGCGGUGAAAUGCGUAGAGAUCUGGAGGAAUACCGGUGGCGAAGGCGGCCCCCUGGACAAAGACUGACGCUCAGGUGCGAAAGCGUGGGGAGCAAACGGGAUUAGAUACCCCCGUAGUC